AAUGAACGCUGGCGGCAGGCCUAACACAUGCAAGUCGAACGGAUCCUUCGGGACUAGUGGCGGACGGGUGAGUAACGCGUGGGAACAUACCCUUUGGUACGGAAUAGCCUCGGGAAACUGGGAGUAAUACCGGAUGAGGUCGAGGGAGGAAAGAUUUAUCGGCAAAGGAUUGGCCCGCGUUGGAUUAGGUAGUUGGUGGGGUAAUGGCCUACCAAGCCGACGAUCCAUAGCUGGUUUGAGAGGAUGAUCAGCCACACUGGGACUGAGACACGGCCCAGACUCCUACGGGAGGCAGCAGUGGGGAAUCUUAGACAAUGGGGGAAACCCUGAUCUAGCCAUGCCGCGUGAUCGAUGAAGGCCUUAGGGUUGUAAAGAUCUUUCAGGUGGGAAGAUAAUGACUGUACCACCAGAAGAAGCCCCGGCUAACUCCGUGCCAGCCGCCGCCGUAA
rnacentral:rRNA from 1 species